rnacentral:rRNA from 1 species
AUUGAACGCUGCGGCAGGCUUAACACAUGCAAGUCGAGCGAGCGGCGGACGGGUGAGUAAUGCUUAUGAAUCUGCCUAUUAGUGGGGGACAACAUCUCGAACGGGAUGCUAAUACCGCAUACUAAUACAUGAGCCUCAGUCGGAUUAGCUAGUUGGUGGGGUAAAGGCCUACCAAGGCGACGAUCUCUAGCGGGUCUGGGAAGAAGAUCAAGCACACUGGGACGUAGGAAAGGCCCAGACUCCUACGGGAGGCAGCAGUGGGGAAUAUUGGGCAAUGGGGGGAACCCUGAUCCAGGCAAGCCGGGGGUGUGAAGAAGGCCUUAUGGGUGGAAAAGAAUUUUAGCGAGGAAACGGUACUCGCAGAAUAAGCACCGGCUAACUACGUGCCAGCAGCCGCGGUAAUUC